AUAACCGACAGAGUGUUCCAUAUAUAUAUAUACAUACAAUACAGAGAAGAUUAGCAUGGCCCUUGCACAGGGAUGACACACAAAUUCAUGAAGCACUCCAUAUUUUU